AAUAAGUGCAGUCGUGGGUAUCUGUGUCCAAUGUUUGACCGUCCGUCUUAUUUAAAAAAUAUAAAAAAGUUAGUCACAUAAAGUAUUAUUCAUGUUUUAUCAUCUAAUAACCAUAAAAAUACUAAUCAUAAAAAAAUUUAAAUAAGAUGAACGGUCAAACGUUGGAUAUAAAUAGUGCAAAACUUACA
rnacentral:pre_miRNA from 1 species